GACGAACGCUGGCGGCGUGCUUAACACAUGCAAGUCGAACGGAAAGGCCCUUGCUUUUGUGGGGUGCUCGAGUGGCGAACGGGUGAGUAACACGUGAGUAACCUGCCCUUGACUUUGGGAUAACUUCAGGAAACUGGGGCUAAUACCGGAUAGGAGCUCCUGCUGCAUGGUGGGGGUUGGAAAGUUUCGGCGGUUGGGGAUGGACUCGCGGCUUAUCAGCUUGUUGGUGGGGUAGUGGCUUACCAAGGCUUUGACGGGUAGCCGGCCUGAGAGGGUGACCGGCCACAUUGGGACUGAGAUACGGCCCAGACUCCUACGGGAGGCAGCAGUGGGGAAUAUUGCACAAUGGGCGGAAGCCUGAUGCAGCAACGCCGCGUGCGGGAUGACGGCCUUCGGGUUGUAAACCGCUUUCGCCUGUGACGAAGCGUGAGUGACGGUAAUGGGUAAAGAAGCACCGGCUAACUACGUG
rnacentral:rRNA from 1 species